UGGGGAAUAUUGCGCAAUGGGGGAAACCCUGACGCAGCGACGCCGCGUGAGCGAAGAAGGCCCUGGGGUUGUAAAGCUCUGUUUUAAGGGACGAAUGUCGUGGGGAGUAAUAUGCUCUGCGAAUGACGGUACCUUAAGAGGAAGCCCCGGCUAACUACGUGCCAGCAGCCGCGGUAAGACGUAGGGGGCGAGCGUUGUCCGGAAUUACUGGGCGUAAAGAGCACGUAGGCGGGAACUUAAGUCAGGUGUGAAAGACCGGGGCUCAACUCCGGGGUUGCACUUGAAACUGGGUUUCUUGAGGGCAGGAGAGGAAAGCAGAAUUCCUGGUGUAGCGGUGAAAUGCGUAGAAAUCAGGAGGAAUACCAGUGGCGAAGGCGGCUUUCUGGACUGACCCUGACGCUGAGGUGCGAAAGCAUGGGUAGCAAACAG
rnacentral:rRNA from 1 species